rnacentral:rRNA from 1 species
GGCUUAACACAUGCAAGUCGAGCGGAAACGAUGAUAGCUUGCUAUCAGGCGUCGAGCGGCGGACGGGUGAGUAAUACUUAGGAAUCUACCUAGUAGUGGGGGAUAGCACGGGGAAACUCGUAUUAAUACCGCAUACGACCUACGGGAGAAAGGGGGCAGUUUACUGCUCUCGCUAUUAGAUGAGCCUAAGUCGGAUUAGCUAGAUGGUGGGGUAAAGGCCUACCAUGGCGACGAUCUGUAGCUGGUCUGAGAGGAUGAUCAGCCACACCGGGACUGAGACACGGCCCGGACUCCUACGGGAGGCAGCAGUGGGGAAUAUUGGACAAUGGGGGAAACCCUGAUCCAGCCAUGCCGCGUGUGUGAAGAAGGCCUUUUGGUUGUAAAGCACUUUAAGCAGUGAAGAAGACUCCGUGGUUAAUACCCACGGACGAUGACAUUAGCUGCAGAAUAAGCACCGGCUAACUCUGUGCCAGCAGCCGCGGUAAUACAGAGGGUGCAAGCGUUAAUCGGAAUUACUGGGCGUAAAGGGAGCGUAGGUGGCUCGAUAAGUCAGAUGUGAAAUCCCCGGGCUCAACCUGGGAACUGCAUCUGAUACUGUUGAGCUAGAGUAUGUGAGAGGAAGGUAGAAUUCCAGGUGUAGCGGUGAAAUGCGUAGAGAUCUGGAGGAAUACCGAUGGCGAAGGCAGCCUUCUGGCAUAAUACUGACACUGAGGCUCGAAAGCGUGGGUAGCAAACAGGAUUAGAUACCCUGGUAGUCCACGCCGUAAACGAUGUCUACUAGUCGUUGGGUCCCUUGAGGACUUAGUGACGCAGCUAACGCAAUAAGUAGACCGCCUGGGGAGUACGGCCGCAAGGUUAAAACUCAAAUGAAUUGACGGGGGCCCGCACAAGCGGUGGAGCAUGUGGUUUAAUUCGAUGCAACGCGAAGAACCUUACCUGGUCUUGACAUAUCUAGAAUCCUGCAGAGAUGCGGGAGUGCCUUCGGGAAUUAGAAUACAGGUGCUGCAUGGCUGUCGUCAGCUCGUGUCGUGAGAUGUUGGGUUAAGUCCCGCAACGAGCGCAACCCUUGUCCUUAGUUACCAGCGGGUUAAGCCGGGAACUCUAAGGAUACUGCCAGUGACAAACUGGAGGAAGGCGGGGACGACGUCAAGUCAUCAUGGCCCUUACGACCAGGGCUACACACGUGCUACAAUGGUAGGUACAGAGGGCAGCUACACAGCGAUGUGAUGCGAAUCUCAAAAAGCCUAUCGUAGUCCAGAUUGGAGUCUGCAACUCGACUCCAUGAAGUAGGAAUCGCUAGUAAUCGCGGAUCAGAAUGCCGCGGUGAAUACGUUCCCGGGCCUUGUACACACCGCCCGUCACACGGGAGGAGUUGAUUGCCCCAGGGGGUGUAUAACGCUAACAU